UUUUUCAUGUUUUCAUACGGUGUAAUCACUAGUGCAACAAUCCUUUAACUGUUUCUGUAACCUAUCUCUGAUUCUAAGCCGAAGUCAUAAUCCAUGGAGAGAAGAAAACAGAAAAAGAAAAGGAGCGAAGAAUGGGAAGUUUUUAGGGAGAGGUGGAGAGGGAAGAAGGGAAGGAAUGGAGAAAAAGAAACAGGAAAAGAGAUGGAAAGAAUGGAAAGAAAAGGAAGGAAGAACAGGAAGCUUCUAGGGAGAGAUGGAGAGAGGAGAAGGGAAGGAAAGAAAGAGAGAAGGAAACAAGAGAGAGAAAAUACACACACCCAGUAGCUAGUUCAAUCUUCAAAGGCAGCAGCUCCAAUGCUAUUAGUUAGUAUUAGGUUAAAAC
rnacentral:misc_RNA from 1 species